CGGUCGGCAGUACACCCAGGCGUUGCCGCGCAGCCCCGCUGCGAGCUGAACCUGCCC
rfam:Burkholderiales bacterium JOSHI_001 chromosome, whole genome shotgun sequence.